rnacentral:rRNA from 1 species
UACGGAGGGUGCAAGCGUUAUUCGGAAUUAUUGGGCGUAAAGAGCGCGUAGGCGGUUUCUUAAGUCAGAUGUGAAAGCCCAGGGCUUAACCCUGGAAGUGCAUUUGAAACUAAGGGACUUGAGUAUGGGAGAGGGAAGUGGAAUUCCUGGUGUAGCGGUGAAAUGCGUAGAUAUCAGGAGGAACACCGGUGGCGAAGGCGACUUCCUGGACCAAUUCUGACGCUGAGGCGCGAAGGCGUGGGGAGCAAACAGG